AAGCGUACCAUAGAAAAAACAUGUAUAAGCUCGAUAAUAUGGUUUGAGCGUUUCUACUUAGUGACCGUAAAUCACUAAACUACUUGUGAGGAUGAAACAUCU
rnacentral:ncRNA from 2 species